rnacentral:rRNA from 1 species
AUGUUGUCCAUCGUCGCCCGCCGAGUACUCGUCAGAUGUGUCCUUACGGCCAUGCCAACUUUCAGCCUCACGGUGCUACGUUUCCCCGCGAAGCUUCUCAAAGAAAUUGACAAGUGCAGACGACGCUUCCUCUGGGGCCAGGAUCAGGAGCUCUCUGGCGGCAGCUGCAAAGUCAGUUGGAGACGGGUCUGCUCACCGAUCGAGCAUGGGAGACUCGGCAUCCUUGACCUGACGAAAUUCAGCCGCGCUCUCCAGCAACGCUGGCUCUGGCACGCCUGGAAAAGCCUGGAGCGGCCGUGGGUGGGGACGGAA